UGAGCAAUCUGCCCUUCUCUUUGGAAUAAGCGUUGGAAACGACGUCUAAUGCCGAAUACGACCUCCUUUCGCAUGAUCGGAGGUGGAAAGCUCCGGCGGAGAAGGAUGAGCUCGCGGCCUAUCAGCUAGUUGGUGUGGGUAAUGGCCCACCAAGGCGACGACGGGUAGCCGGCCUGAGAGGGUGACCGGCCACACUGGGACUGAGACACGGCCCAGACCUCCGUACGGGAGG
rnacentral:rRNA from 1 species